rnacentral:rRNA from 1 species
UACAGAGGUCUCAAGCGUUGUUCGGAUUCAUUGGGCGUAAAGGGUGCGUAGGUGGCGGGGCAAGUCUGGUGUGAAAUCUCGGAGCUCAACUCCGAAACUGCACUGGAUACUGCCUUGCUCGAGUACUGGAGAGGAGAUUGGAAUUUACGGUGUAGCAGUGAAAUGCGUAGAUAUCGUAAGGAAGACCAGCGGCGAAGGCGAAUCUCUGGACAGUUACUGACACUGAGGCACGAAGGCCAGGGGAGCAAACGGG